rnacentral:ncRNA from 1 species
AUAAAACUGCCACCGGGUAGUGAGCUCUCAGCGCUCGUUUCCACAUCGUUAGGUCUUAGAAGAUGUGUGAAAUGUGCGCUUUUUUAAA